rnacentral:rRNA from 1 species
AGAACGAACGCUGGCGGCGUGGAUAAGACAUGCAAGUCGAACGCGACUUAUUUUGUUAGCAAUAACGAGAUAAGUUGAGUGGCGAAAGGGUGCGUAACACGUGGGAAUUUACCAAGAAGUGGGGAAUAGCUCGACGAAAGUCGAAUUAAUACCGCAUGUGAUCGAAAGAUCAAAGUCGGGGACCGCAAGGCCUGACGCUUUUUGAGGAGCCCGCGGCCCAUCAGCUAGUUGGUGAGGUAAAAGCUCACCAAGGCUAUGACGGGUAGCUGGUCUGAGAGGACGACCAGCCACACUGGAACUGAGACACGGUCCAGACACCUACGGGUGGCAGCAGUCGAGAAUUUUUCACAAU